GAUGAACGCUGGCGGCGUGCCUAAUACAUGCAAGUCGAGCGAACGGACGAGAAGCUUGCUUCUCUGAUGUUAGCGGCGGACGGGUGAGUAACACGUGGAUAACCUACCUAUAAGACUGGGAUAACUUCGGGAAACCGUAGCUAAUACCGGAUAAUAUUUUGAACCGCAUGGUUCAAAAGUGAAAGACGGUCUUGCUGUCACUUAUAGAUGGAUCCGCGCUGCAUUAGCUAGUUGGUAAGGUAACGGCUUACCAAGGCAACGAUGCAUAGCCGACCUGAGAGGGUGAUCGGCCACACUGGAACUGAGACACGGUCCAGACUCCGACGGGAGGCAGCAGUAGGGAAUCUUCCGCAAUGGGCGAAAGCCCGACGGAGCAACGCCGCGUGAGUGAUGAAGGUCUUCGGAUCGUAAAACUCUGUUAUUAGGGAAGAACAUAUGUGUAAGUAACUGUGCACAUCUUGACGGUACCUAAUCAGAAAGCCACGGCUAACUACGUG
rnacentral:rRNA from 1 species